rnacentral:rRNA from 1 species
GUUUCUGACCUAUCAGCUUUCGACGGUAGGGUAUUGGCCUACCGUGGCAGUGACGGGUAACGGGGAAUUAGGGUUCGAUUCCGGAGAGGGAGCCUGAGAAACGGCUACCACAUCUAAGGAAGGCAGCAGGCGCGCAAAUUACCCAAUGAAAACAGUUUCGAGGUAGUGACGAGAAAUAACAAUACAGGGCAUUUUAUGCUCUGUAAUUGGAAUGAUGGGAAUCUAAAACCCUUUCAGAGUAACAAUUGGAGGGCAAGUCUGGUGCCAGCAGCCGCGGUAAUUCCAGCUCCAAUAGCGUAUAUUAGAGUUGUUGCAGUUAAAAAGCUCGUAGUUGGAUUUCUGUCGUGGUCUUCCGGUUUCGCCCGUACGGGUGUUGACUUGGCUAGCCCUCGGCAUUCUUCCGGUGCCUUCCCCGCUUCACUGCGUGGUGGGUUUCUCCGGAACUUUUACUUUGAGAAAAAUAGAGUGUUUCAAGCAGGCUUUCGCCUUGAAUACUUCAGCAUGGAAUAAUAAGAUAGGACUUUGGUUCUAUUUUGUUGGUUUCUAGGACUAAAGUAAUGAUUAAUAGGGACAGUUGGGGGCAUUCGUAUUUAACUGUCAGAGGUGAAAUUCUUAGAUUUG